rnacentral:misc_RNA from 1 species
GGAAGUAAAAGUCUAACAAGGUUUCCGUAGGUGAACCUGCGGAAGGAUCAUUAUUGUAUAACCGAGGUGCGAGGGCUGUCGCUGACCCGAAAGGUCGUGCACGCCCGAGUGCCCUCACACACAUCCAUCUCACCCCUAUGUGCACCACCGCGUGGGUCCCCCUUUGGCUUGUUCGGAGGGGGGCUUACGUUUUCACACAAACUUUGUAUGCAGUGUAGAAUGUAUUUUUUGUUUUUGCGAUCACGCAAUCAAUACAUCUUUCAACAACGGAUCUCUUGGCUCUC